rnacentral:lncRNA from 1 species
UCGGGGAUUAAGAGGCAUAAAACUUGUGCCUUAUACACCUUGUUAGGGGAUUUUUAUGUAGGCUCUUUGUGAGUACUACGGAACGUUGGACAAGUUGGUAAACCGGAUAAGUUUGUAUGUAUUUCGUAAGGAUUUAGGGAGGAUUUAUGAAGGAUAAUAAAGAGAUAGACUUGAAGAGACUUUUAUUAGAUAGAGUAAGCAAGAACAAGAGAGGUUACAAAGUAUUCAAUAAGAACCCUAGUUCUAGCCGUCUAGUUUUAGUCUCUAAGCCUUGGGGAAGUCGAUCAUUUGCUUUAGGGUUUUAGUAG